rnacentral:lncRNA from 1 species
GUGUCAGAAAUAUAGCUCUUUGUUUACUGUUUGAGCCAGCUCUCUCAGAACUCGAGCCGACUUGACUGCUGGCUAAUGCUUCUGAUGCUUUCUUCACAUCUCGUCAUUUCUUCAUCAGUUUUUAAGACUUGGAAGCACCACACUUGAGCUCACAAUCUCCAUCUUGGUGCUCCUAAGUCCUUGUGAACUCAGUCCUAUCCACCAGUCCCAUUAGUGUCAUACAAUAGUGAAAGCUAUCUCAUGG